GAUGAACGCUGGGGCGUGCCUAACACAUGCAAGUCGAGCGAGAAGUAAAGAAAUGAAGCUUCGGUAGAUUUUCAUUAUGGAAAGCGGCGGACGGGUGAUAACGCGUAGGCAACCUGCCCUGUACAGGGGGAUAGCCACCCGAAAAGGUGAUUAAUACCCCAUGAUGCAAGAGAUACACAUGUAUCACUUGUCAAAGAUUUAUCGGUAUGGGAUGGGCCUGCGUCUGAUUAGCUAGUUGGUAGGGUAACGGCUUACCAAGGCAACGAUCAGUAGCCGACCUGAGAGGGUGAUCGGCCACAUUGGAACUGAGACACGGUCCAAACUCCUACGGGAGGCAGCAGUGGGGAAUAUUGCACAAUGGGGGAAACCCUGAUGCAGCAACGCCGCGUGAAGGAAGAAGGCCUUCGGGUUGUAAACUUCUGUCCUAGGGGAAGAAACAAAUGACAUACCCU
rnacentral:rRNA from 1 species